CGCAACCUGGGCAGCACCCACGCCCACCCCGGCCUCCCGCACGGCUCCCUGGAGAGGAAAAGAGUACGGUACUCUGAGCUGGACUUUGAGAAAGUGAUGCACACUCGCAAAAGACACUCUGAGCUCUACCAUGAACUCAACCACUCUGCCAAGUUCCACACCAUAGACAGGUAUAACAGGGAUCCAGCUAUGUCCACA